GUUUUUUUUUAAAUGUUCACAAUGGUAACCACUAUUACAAACACUUUCUUUCAUGUUUCAUUUUCUAGUGGACAAAGUAGAGGUAUAUACAUAGAAGGGACUGAUGGCAAUCUCUGGAAUGGCAUGUUCUUAGACUCUGAGGUAAGAAGGAUGGGACAAAGUGAACUUGUAUCCACAAGGCAAAGUUUUUCUAGGCUAUAGACAUUGCUGGGCAUAUCUUGCAGAUGGCAGUGAAGUGCCAAGUGGAUUGCAUUUUACAUAAAGGACCAGUAUCUGGUGCACAUGACUUUCACCAGGAGUAGGAUGGGGAAAGUGGGUGACUCUGAAUACAAUAUGAGCUGUCACUUUCACUGUCGUCAGUGCAGUUUCCAUAGAUUUAUGCCUAAGCCUGGGUUCAGAGGAAGCUACAAAUAAAAACUGGAGGAGUUGUUCUCUAGCA
rnacentral:lncRNA from 1 species